rnacentral:rRNA from 1 species
UACGGGGGGGCAAGCGUUGUUCGGAAUUACUGGGCGUAAAGGGCUCGUAGGUGGCCAACUAAGUCAUACGUGAAAUCCCUCGGCUUAACCGGGGAACUGCGUCUGAUACUGGAUGGCUUGAGUUUGGGAGAGGGAUGCGGAAUUCCAGGUGUAGCGGUGAAAUGCGUAGAUAUCUGGAGGAACACCGGUGGCGAAGGCGGCAUCCUGGACCAAUACUGACACUGAGGAGCGAAAGCCAGGGAGCAAACGGG